rnacentral:lncRNA from 1 species
GCCGCUUAAGCCUGAGAUUUUUCUCACUAGAGCCAGGAUGACAAUGUCGUCUACUCUUGGGACCCUGGAAACACUGGGAGGUAGUAGGAUACUGAAUCUGUGAGAGCCUUGAAUCAACCAACCCAUCCACCAACAAACACCUGUAAAGUUUCCACCACAGUGCAGGUACCCUGGGAACAAGGCUGGGGAGGACCCCUCCUUCAUGGACAGAAAAUGCACUCAGCAGGUGUAAUGGGUUACACCACCUGGCAGAGAGCAUGCUGGCUUUCCUUCCUGGAUGACUUGGUUUGAAAGUCACUAAGUGGAGGUCCAGCAAGACAGCGCCCCCCACGUCCGGGACUGUGGGUGCAGGGUGUCGGAGCCCAGGAAAGACGAGGGCAGCAAGUGGGUCACUUACAGAGAACAUGUGAUAAGUAAACAUCUUGAAGAAAAUGGGAGCCAGGCUUCACACUGUCAGAGAAGGAAGUUACG